GUGAGGAAUAUUGGUCAAUGGGCGGGAGCCUGAACCAGCCAAGUCGCGUGAAGGAAGAAGGAUCUAUGGUUCGUAAACUUCUUUUGCAGGGGAAUAAAGUGCAGGACGUGUCCUGUUUUGUAUGUACCCUGAGAAUAAGGAUCGACUAACUCCGUGCCAGCAGCCGCGGUAAUACGGAGGAUCCGAGCGUUAUCCGGAUUUAUUGGGUUUAAAGGGUGCGUAGGUGGUUUGAUAAGUCAGCGGUGAAAGUUUGCAGCUUAACUGUAAAAAUGCCGUUGAAACUGUCGGACUUGAGUGUAAAUGAGGUAGGCGGAAUGCGUGGUGUAGCGGUGAAAUGCAUAGAUAUCACGCAGAACUCCGAUUGCGAAGGCAGCUUACUAAGCUACAACUGACACUGAAGCACGAAAGCGUGGGGAUCAAACAGGAUUAGAUACCCCUGUAGUCC
rnacentral:rRNA from 1 species